GCUCAGGACGAACGCUGGCGGCGUGCCUAAUACAUGCAAGUUGAGCGCUGAAGGUUGGUACUUGUACCGACUGGAUGAGCAGCGAACGGGUGAGUAACGCGUGGGGAAUCUGCCUUUGAGCGGGGGACAACAUUUGGAAACGAAUGCUAAUACCGCAUAAAAACUUUAAACACAAGUUUUAAGUUUGAAAGAUGCAAUUGCAUCACUCAAAGAUGAUCCCGCGUUGUAUUAGCUAGUUGGUGAGGUAAAGGCUCACCAAGGCGAUGAUACAUAGCCGACCUGAGAGGGUGAUCGGCCACAUUGGGACUGAGACACGGCCCAAACUCCUACGGGAGGCAGCAGUAGGGAAUCUUCGGCAAUGGACGAAAGUCUGACCGAGCAACGCCGCGUGAGUGAAGAAGGUUUUCGGAUCGUAAAACUCUGUUGGUAGAGAAGAACGUUGGUGAGAGUGGAAAGCUCAUCAAGUGACGGUAACUACCCAGAAAGGGACGGCUAACUACGUGCCAGCAGCCGCGGUAAUACGUAGGUCCCGAGCGUUGUCCGGAUUUAUUGGGCGUAAAGCGAGCGCAGGUGGUUUAUUAAGUCUGGUGUAAAAGGCAGUGGCUCAACCAUUGUAUGCAUUGGAAACUGGUAGACUUGAGUGCAGGAGAGGAGAGUGGAAUUCCAUGUGUAGCGGUGAAAUGCGUAGAUAUAUGGAGGAACACCGGUGGCGAAAGCGGCUCUCUGGCCUGUAAC
rnacentral:rRNA from 1 species